UACGUAGGGAGCAAGCGUUGUCCGGAAUCAUUGGGCGUAAAGAGCGUGUAGGCGGUCCGGUAAGUCCGCUGUGAAAGUCGGGGGCUCAACCCUCGAAUGCCGGUGGAUACUGUCGGGCUAGAGUACGGAAGAGGCGAGUGGAAUUCCUGGUGUAGCGGUGAAAUGCGCAGAUAUCAGGAGGAACACCCAUUGCGAAGGCAGCUCGCUGGGACGUUACUGACGCUGAGGCGCGAAAGCGUGGGGAGCGAACAGG
rnacentral:rRNA from 1 species